GAGCAGCCCAGAGCCUGAAUCAGUGUGUGUGUUAGUGGAAGCGUCUGGAAAGGCGCGCGAUACAGGGUGACAGCCCCGUACACAAAAAUGCACAUGCUGUGAGCUCGAUGAGUAGGGCGGGACACGUGGUAUCCUGUCUGAAUAUGGGGGGACCAUCCUCCAAGGCUAAAUACUCCUGACUGACCGAUAGUGAACCAGUACCGUGAGGGAAAGGCGAAAAGAACCCCGGCGAGGGGAGUGAAAAAGAACCUGAAACCGUGUACGUACAAGCAGUGGGAGCACGCUUAGGCGUGUGACUGCGUACCUUUUGUAUAAUGGGUCAGCGACUUAUAUUCUGUAGCAAGGUUAACCGAAUAGGGGAGCCGAAGGGAAACCGAGUCUUAACUGGGCGUUAAGUUGCAGGGUAUAGACCCGAAACCCGGUGAUCUAGCCAUGGGCAGGUUGAAGGUUGGGUAACACUAACUGGAGGACCGAACCGACUAAUGUUGAAAAAUUAGCGGAUGACUUGUGGCUGGGGGUGAAAGGCCAAUCAAACCGGGAGAUAGCUGGUUCUCCCCGAAAGCUAUUUAGGUAGCGCCUCGUGAAUUCAUCUCCGGGGGUAGAGCACUGUUUCGGCAAGGGGGUCAUCCCGACUUACCAACCCGAUGCAAACUGCGAAUACCGGAGAAUGUUAUCACGGGAGACACACGGCGGGUGCUAACGUCCGUCGUGAAGAGGGAAACAACCCAGACCGCCAGCUAAGGUCCCAAAGUCAUGGUUAAGUGGGAAACGAUGUGGGAAGGCCCAGACAGCCAGGAUGUUGGCUUAGAAGCAGCCAUCAUUUAAAGAAAGCGUAAUAGCUCACUGGUCGAGUCGGCCUGCGCGGAAGAUGUAACGGGGCUAAACCAUGCACCGAAGCUGCGGCAGCGACGCUUAUGCGUUGUUGGGUAGGGGAGCGUUCUGUAAGCCUGUGAAGGUGUGCUGUGAGGCAUGCUGGAGGUAUCAGAAGUGCGAAUGCUGACAUAAGUAACGAUAAAGCGGGUGAAAAGCCCGCUCGCCGGAAGACCAAGGGUUCCUGUCCAACGUUAAUCGGGGCAGGGUGAGUCGACCCCUAAGGCGAGGCCGAAAGGCGUAGUCGAUGGGAAACAGGUUAAUAUUCCUGUACUUGGUGUUACUGCGAAGGGGGGACGGAGAAGGCUAUGUUGGCCGGGCGACGGUUGUCCCGGUUUAAGCGUGUAGGCUGGUUUUCCAGGCAAAUCCGGAAAAUCAAGGCUGAGGCGUGAUGACGAGGCACUACGGUGCUGAAGCAACAAAUGCCCUGCUUCCAGGAAAAGCCUCUAAGCAUCAGGUAACAUCAAAUCGUACCCCAAACCGACACAGGUGGUCAGGUAGAGAAUACCAAGGCGCUUGAGAGAACUCGGGUGAAGGAACUAGGCAAAAUGGUGCCGUAACUUCGGGAGAAGGCACGCUGAUAUGUAGGUGAAGUCCCUCGCGGAUGGAGCUGAAAUCAGUCGAAGAUACCAGCUGGCUGCAACUGUUUAUUAAAAACACAGCACUGUGCAAACACGAAAGUGGACGUAUACGGUGUGACGCCUGCCCGGUGCCGGAAGGUUAAUUGAUGGGGUCAGCGCAAGCGAAGCUCUUGAUCGAAGCCCCGGUAAACGGCGGCCGUAACUAUAACGGUCCUAAGGUAGCGAAAUUCCUUGUCGGGUAAGUUCCGACCUGCACGAAUGGCGUAAUGAUGGCCAGGCUGUCUCCACCCGAGACUCAGUGAAAUUGAACUCGCUGUGAAGAUGCAGUGUACCCGCGGCAAGACGGAAAGACCCCGUGAACCUUUACUAUAGCUUGACACUGAACAUUGAGCCUUGAUGUGUAGGAUAGGUGGGAGGCUUAGAAGUGUGGACGCCAGUCUGCAUGGAGCCGACCUUGAAAUACCACCCUUUAAUGUUUGAUGUUCUAACGUUGACCCGUAAUCCGGGUUGCGGACAGUGUCUGGUGGGUAGUUUGACUGGGGCGGUCUCCUCCUAAAGAGUAACGGAGGAGCACGAAGGUUGGCUAAUCCUGGUCGGACAUCAGGAGGUUAGUGCAAUGGCAUAAGCCAGCUUGACUGCGAGCGUGACGGCGCGAGCAGGUGCGAAAGCAGGUCAUAGUGAUCCGGUGGUUCUGAAUGGAAGGGCCAUCGCUCAACGGAUAAAAGGUACUCCGGGGAUAACAGGCUGAUACCGCCCAAGAGUUCAUAUCGACGGCGGUGUUUGGCACCUCGAUGUCGGCUCAUCACAUCCUGGGGCUGAAGUAGGUCCCAAGGGUAUGGCUGUUCGCCAUUUAAAGUGGUACGCGAGCUGGGUUUAGAACGUCGUGAGACAGUUCGGUCCCUAUCUGCCGUGGGCGCUGGAGAACUGAGGGGGGCUGCUCCUAGUACGAGAGGACCGGAGUGGACGCAUCACUGGUGUU
rnacentral:rRNA from 1 species